UGGAAUACAAGGCAGUGGAAUUCACCCAAUCAGAGAAGAAAGAAGAAGAAGAAGAAGAAGAAGAAGAAGAAGAAGAAGAAGAAAGAAGAAGAAGAAGAAGAAGAAGAAGAAGAAGAAGAAGAAGAAGAAAGAAGAAGAAAGAAGAAGAAGAAAGAAGAAGAAGAAGAGAAGAAGAAGGAGAAGAAGAAGAAGAAGAAGAAGAAGAAGAAGAAGAAGAAGAAAGAAGAAGAAGAAGAAGAGAAGAAGAAGAAGAAGGAAGAAGAAGAAAGAAGAAGAAGAAGAAGAAGAAGAGAAGAAGAAGAAGAAGAAGAAGAAGAAAGAAGAAGAGGAAGAGGAAGAAGAAGAAGGAAAAGAAGGAGAAGGGAAGGAGGAGGAGGAGGAGGAGGAGAAGAAGAAGAAGAAGAAGAGAAGAAGAAGAAGAAGAGAAGAAAGAAGAAGGAGAAGGGAAGGAGGAGGAGGAGGAGGAGGAGAAGAAGAAGAAAGAAGAAGAGAAGAAGAAGAAAGAAGAAGAAGGAGAAGGGAAGGAGGAGGAGGAGGAGGAGGAGGAGGAGGAGGAGGAGAAGAAGAAGAAGAAAGAAGAAGAAAGAAGAAGAAGAAGAAGAAGAAGAAGAAGAAGAAGAAGAAGAAGAAGAAGAAGAAGAAGAGGAAAAGGAAAGGGGGACAGAAACUUAUUUGAAGAAAUGAUGGCUGAAAAUUUUCCUGACCUAGGGAAGGAAACAGACACUGAGAUCCAAAAAGCCCAAAGAGUUCCAAAUAAGAUGAACUCAAAGAGACCCAUGUUAUAAUUAAAAUAUCAAAAGUUUAAAAAAAAAGAAUCUUAAAAGCAGCAAGUGAAAAGCUACUUGUUACUUCUAAGAGAAACUACAUAAGACUAUAAGCAGAUUUCUCAGCAGAAAGUUUGCAGUGCUCUUCCAACCAAUAAUACUCUUCCCAGCAAGGCUAUCAUUCAAAAUUGAAGAAAAAACAAAAAGUUUUCCAGACAAGCAAAAGCUUACAAGAAAUCAAAAGGGCCUUCUUUAAGUUGAAAAA
rnacentral:lncRNA from 1 species